GGGGGGGGUAAGCGUUGUUCGGAAUUACUGGGCGUAAAGGGCUCGUAGGCGGCCAACUAAGUCAGACGUGAAAUCCCUCAGCUUAACUGGGGAACUGCGUCUGAUACUGGAUGGCUUGGAUCCGGGAGAGGGAUGCGGAAUUCCAGGUGUAGCGGUGAAAUGCGUAGAUAUCUGGAGGAACACCGGUGGCGAAGGCGGCAUCCUGGACCGGUAUUGACGCUGAGGAGCGAAAGCCAGGGGAGCAAACGGGAUUAGAUACCCCGGUAGUCCUGGCCCUAAACGAUGAAUGCUUGGUGUAGCGGGUAUCGAUCCCUGCUGUGCCGAAGCUAACGCAUUAAGCAUUCCGCCUGGGGAGUACGGUCGCAAGGCUGAA
rnacentral:rRNA from 1 species